rnacentral:rRNA from 1 species
GACGAACGCUGGCGGCGUGCUUAACACAUGCAAGUCGAACGAAGUGGCGAACGGGUGAGUAACGCGUAAGCAACCUGCCCAUCUGAGGGGGACAACAGUUGGAAACUACUGCUAAUACCGCAUAUUGUAGGGGGCGCUUGCGUCUGAUUAGCUAGUUGGAGGGGUAACGGCCCACCAAGGCGAUGAUCAGUAGCCGGUCGGAUAGGAUGAACGGCCACAUUGGGACUGAGACACGGCCCAGACUCCUACGGGAGGCAGCAGUGGGGAAUCUUCCGCAAUGGACGAAAGUCUGACGGAGCAACGCCGCGUGAGUGAUGACGGCCUUCGGGUUGUAAAGCUCUGUUAAUCGGGACGCGGUACCGGAAUAGAAAGCCACGGCUAACUACGUGCCAGCAGCCGCGGUAAUUC